rnacentral:rRNA from 1 species
UACGGAGGAUGCGAGCGUUAUCCGGAUUUAUUGGGUUUAAAGGGUGCGUAGGCGGGAUGCCAAGUCAGCGGUAAAAAUGCGGUGCUCAACGCCGUCGAGCCGUUGAAACUGGCGUUCUUGAGUGGGCGAGAAGUAUGCGGAAUGCGUGGUGUAGCGGUGAAAUGCAUUGAUAUCACGCAGAACUCCGAUUGCGAAGGCAGCAUACCGGCGCCCUACUGACGCUGAGGCACGAAAGCGUGGGCAUCGAACAGG